rnacentral:rRNA from 1 species
GUGCAGCAGUCGCGAAAACUCCGCAAUACGCGAAAGCGUGACGGGGCUACCCCGAGUGUCGUCCGCUGAGGACGACUUUUCCACGCUGUAAGGAGGCGUGGGAAUAAGGAGAGGGCAAGUCUGGUGUCAGCCGCCGCGGUAAUACCAGCUCUCCGAGUGGUAGGGACGAUUAUUGGGCUUAAAGCGUCCGUAGCCGGCUCAGCAAGUCUCCCGUUAAAUCCAACGAUUCAAUCGUUGGACUGCGGGAGAUACUGUUGAGCUAGGAGGCGGGAGAGGCCGACGGUAUUCCCGGAGUAGGGGUGAAAUCCUCUGAUCCCGGGAGGACCUGCAGUGGCGAAGGCGCGUAGCCAGAACGCGCUCGACGGUGAGGGGCGAAAGCUGGGGGAGCGAACCGGAUUAGAUACCCGGGUAGUCC